rnacentral:rRNA from 1 species
AUAACAUAAGAGGUACUGCCUGCCCAGUGACACCCGUUCAACGGCCGCGGUAUCAUGACCGUGCAAAGGUAGCGUAAUCACUUGUCUUUUAAAUAAAGACCAGUAUGAAUGGCAAAACGAAAACUCAACUGUCUCCCCAGGUCAGUCAAUGAAAUUGAUCUUCCCGUGAAGAAGCGGGAAUAUAUUUACAAGACGAGAAGACCCUAUGGAGCUUUAAACCUAAUUAAUUUCAAUUAAAUAAAAUUUAACCAAUGAUUUUUACAAAAGGUUUUAGGUUGGGGCGACCACGGGGAAGAAACUAACCCCCGAGAUGAAAAUAACCUAGAAAAACACUUCGAAAUAACAAAAAAUUUGACAUAAUUGACCCAAUAAUUGAUCAACGAACCAAGUUACCCUAGGGAUAACAGCGCAAUCCUCCCAUAAAGUCCUUAUUGACGGGUGGGUUUACGACCUCGAUGUUGGAUCAGGACCCCCAAAUGGUGCAACCGCUAUUAAAGGUUCGUUUGUUCAACGAUUAAUAGUCCU